rnacentral:rRNA from 1 species
GACGAACGCUGGCGGCGUGCUUAACACAUGCCAGUCGAACGGAAAGGCCCUGCUUUUGUGGGGUGCUCGAGUGGCGAACGGGUGAGUAACACGUGAGUAACCUGCCCUUGACUUUGGGAUAACUUCAGGAAACUGGGGCUAAUACCGGAUAGGAGCUCCUGCUGCAUGGUGGGGGUUGGAAAGUUUCGGCGGUUGGGGAUGGACUCGCGGCUUAUCAGCUUGUUGGUGGGGUAGUGGCUUACCAAGGCUUUGACGGGUAGCCGGCCUGAGAGGGUGACCGGCCACAUUGGGACUGAGAUACGGCCCAGACUCCUACGGGAGGCAGCAGUGGGGAAUAUUGCACAAUGGCGGAAGCCUGAUGCAGCAACGCCGCGUGCGGGAUGACGGCCUUCGGGUUGUAAACCGCUUUCGCCUGUGACGAAGCGUGAGUGACGGUAAUGGGUAAAGAAGCACCGGCUAACUACGUG